UAUAUAUAUUAAAUAGUAUGAAAAAAUGUUUACCAAAAUCUUAACUUGCAAUGUGUAGAAAUGAAAUCAGAUCAUUUUAUGAAGUAUUGGCAGGAUGUACUUGACGACUUACCAACUUCCAACUACAUGCCAGUUUGAAAUAUUUUUCAUACUCGGUGGAGUUGAGGCGAUUUACAAGUUAUUCGAAUUCUUUUAUUUGAAAUUAGCAUGAUUUUAUCAGCGUAUUAUGUUCAAACAAGAGCUUUAGAUGUUAUGA